UACGAAGGGGGCUAGCGUUGUUCGGAAUCACUGGGCGUAAAGGGUGCGUAGGCCGCACGGUAAGUCAGAGGUGAAAUCCCGGAGCUCAACUUCGGAAUUGCCUCCGAUACUGCCGUGCUUGAGGACUGGAGAGGAGAUUGGAAUUCACAGUGGAGCAGUGAAAUGCGUAGAUAUUGUGAGGAACACUAGUGGCGAAGGCGAAUCUCUGGACAGUUCCUGACGCUGAGGCACGAAGGCCAGGGGAGCAAACGGG
rnacentral:rRNA from 1 species